AGGUUAAGUUAAUAAGGGCGCACGGUGGAUGCCUUGGCACUAGGAGCCGACGAAGGACGUGACAAACGACGAUAUGCCUUGGGUAGCUGUAAGUAAGCGAUGAUCCAGGGAUUUCCGAAUGGGGGAACCCAACAGGUAAUACCUGUUACCUACAUCUGUUAAGGAUGUGAGGAGGAAGACGCAGUGAACUGAAACAUCUAAGUAGCUGCAGGAAGAGAAAGCAAAAGCGAUUGCCUUAGUAGCGGCGAGCGAAACGGCAGAAGGGCAAACCGAAGAGUUUACUCUUCGGGGUUGUAGGACUGCAAUGUGGACUCAAAGAUUAUAGAAGAAUGAUUUGGGAAGAUCAGCCAAAGAGAGUAAUAGCCUCGUAUUUAAAAUAGUCUUUGUACUUAGCAGUAUCCUGAGUACGGCGGGACACGUGAAAUCCCGUCGGAAUCUGGGAGGACCAUCUCCCAACCCUAAAUACUCCCUAGUGACCGAUAGUGAACCAGUACCGUGAGGGAAAGGUGAAAAGCACCCCGGGAGGGGAGUGAAAUAGAACCUGAAACCGUGUGCCUACAACAAGUUCGAGCCCGUUAAUGGGUGAGAGCGUGCCUUUUGUAGAAUGAACCGGCGAGUUACGUUAUGAUGCGAGGUUAAGUUGAAGAGACGGAGCCGUAGGGAAACCGAGUCUGAAUAGGGCGCCUUAGUAUCAUGACGUAGACCCGAAACCAUGUGACCUACCCAUGAGCAGGUUGAAGGUGCGGUAAGACGCACUGGAGGACCGAACCAGGGCACGUUGAAAAGUGCUUGGAUGACUUGUGGGUAGCGGAGAAAUUCCAAACGAACUUGGAGAUAGCUGGUUCUCUCCGAAAUAGCUUUAGGGCUAGCGUCGACAUUAGAGAUUCUUGGAGGUAGAGCACUGUUUGGGUGAGGGGUCCAUCCCGGAUUACCAAUCUCAGAUAAACUCCGAAUGCCAAUGAAUUAUGGUCGGCAGUCAGACUGCGAGUGCUAAGAUCCGUAGUCGAAAGGGAAACAGCCCAGACCACCAGCUAAGGUCCCAAAAUAAUUGUUAAGUGGAAAAGGAUGUGGGGUUGCACAGACAACUAGGAUGUUAGCUUAGAAGCAGCUAUUCAUUCAAAGAGUGCGUAAUAGCUCACUAGUCGAGUGACCCUGCGCCGAAAAUGUACCGGGGCUAAAACAAUUUACCGAAGCUGUGGAUACCUUUAUAGGUAUGGUAGGAGAGCGUUCUAUGUGUGAUGAAGGUAUACCGUGAGGAGUGCUGGAACGCAUAGAAGUGAGAAUGCCGGUAUGAGUAGCGAAAGACAGGUGAGAAUCCUGUCCACCGUAAGACUAAGGUUUCCAGGGGAAGGCUCGUCCGCCCUGGGUUAGUCGGGACCUAAGGAGAGACCGAAAGGUGUAUCCGAUGGACAACAGGUUGAUAUUCCUGUACUAGAGUAUGUAGUGAUGGAGGGACGCAGUAGGCUAACUAAAGCAGACGAUUGGAAGAGUCUGUCUAAGCAGUGAGGUGUGAAUUGAGUCAAAUGCUUAAUUCUAUAACAUUGAGCUGUGAUGGGGAGCGAAGUUUAGUAGCGAAGUUAGUGACGUCACACUGCCAAGAAAAGCUUCUAGCGUUUAAACAUACUCUACCCGUACCGCAAACCGACACAGGUAGUCGAGGCGAGUAGCCUCAGGUGAGCGAGAGAACUCUCGUUAAGGAACUCGGCAAAAUGACCCCGUAACUUCGGGAGAAGGGGUGCUGACUUAAAGUCAGCCGCAGUGAAUAGGCCCAAGCAACUGUUUAUCAAAAACACAGCUCUCUGCUAAAUCGUAAGAUGAUGUAUAGGGGGUGACGCCUGCCCGGUGCUGGAAGGUUAAGAGGAGUGCUUAGCGUAAGCGAAGGUAUGAAUUGAAGCCCCAGUAAACGGCGGCCGUAACUAUAACGGUCCUAAGGUAGCGAAAUUCCUUGUCGGGUAAGUUCCGACCCGCACGAAAGGCGUAAUGAUUUGGGCACUGUCUCAACGAGAGACUCGGUGAAAUUUUAGUACCUGUGAAGAUGCAGGUUACCCGCGACAGGACGGAAAGACCCCAUGGAGCUUUACUGCAGUUUGAUAUUGAGUGUCUGUACCACAUGUACAGGAUAGGUAGGAGUCUAGGAGAUCGGGACGCCAGUUUCGAAGGAGACGCUGUUGGGAUACUACCCUUGUGUUAUGGCCACUCUAACCCAGAUAGGUGAUCCCUAUUGGAGACAGUGUCUGACGGGCAGUUUGACUGGGGCGGUCGCCUCCUAAAAGGUAACGGAGGCGCCCAAAGGUUCCCUCAGAAUGGUUGGAAAUCAUUCGCAGAGUGUAAAGGUAUAAGGGAGCUUGACUGCGAGAGCUACAACUCGAGCAGGGACGAAAGUCGGGCUUAGUGAUCCGGUGGUUCCGUAUGGAAGGGCCAUCGCUCAACGGAUAAAAGCUACCCUGGGGAUAACAGGCUUAUCUCCCCCAAGAGUUCACAUCGACGGGGAGGUUUGGCACCUCGAUGUCGGCUCGUCGCAUCCUGGGGCUGUAGUCGGUCCCAAGGGUUGGGCUGUUCGCCCAUUAAAGCGGCACGCGAGCUGGGUUCAGAACGUCGUGAGACAGUUCGGUCCCUAUCCGUCGCGGGCGUAGGAAAUUUGAGAGGAUCUGCUCCUAGUACGAGAGGACCAGAGUGGACUUACCGCUGGUGUACCAGUUGUCUUGCCAAAGGCAUCGCUGGGUAGCUAUGUAGGGAAGGGAUAAACGCUGAAAGCAUCUAAGUGUGAAACCCACCUCAAGAUGAGAUUUCCCAUGAUUAUAUAUCAGUAAGAGCCCUGAGAGAUGAUCAGGUAGAUAGGUUAGAAGUGGAAGUGUGGCGACACAUGUAGCGGACUAAUACUAAUAGCUCGAGGACUUAUCCAAA
rnacentral:rRNA from 1 species